AGUGAACGCUGGCGGUAGGCCUAACACAUGCAAGUCGAACGGCAGCACAGUAAGAGCUUGCUCUUACGGGUGGCGAGUGGCGGACGGGUGAGGAAUACAUCGGAAUCUACUUUUUCGUGGGGGAUAACGUAGGGAAACUUACGCUAAUACCGCAUACGACCUACGGGUGAAAGCAGGGGAUCUUCGGACCUUGCGCGAUUGAAUGAGCCGAUGUCGGAUUAGCGAGUUGGCGGGGUAAAGGCCCACCAAGGCGACGAUCCGUAGCUGGUCUGAGAGGAUGAUCAGCCUCACUGGAAUUGAGGCACGGUCCAGACUCCUACGGGAGGCAGCAGUGGCGAAUAUUGGACAAUGGGCGCAAGCCUGAUCCAGCCAUACCGCGUGGGUGAAGAAGGCCUUCGGGUUGUAAAGCCCUUUUGUUGGGAAAGAAAAGCAGCAGGUUAAUACCCCGCUGUUCUGACGGUACCCAAAGAAUAAGCACCGGCUAACUUCGUG
rnacentral:rRNA from 1 species